rnacentral:lncRNA from 10 species
GGGUGACGUAAUGACACUCUUUCAAAACAAAACCAAAACCAAAACCUCCCAACAAAGAGAUUUUUCAAAAAAAAAAAAAUAACACAUUUUUUUUUCUUAUUUUUCUUUUUUGCUGCAGCAUGUUUUUAAGAUCUGGCCCAUUGCUUCUAUCUACUGCAUAUUACUCCACCCAUCACAUUUUGCCUAAGGUCUUCUUCAUUAGGGACACCCAAAUUGCCUACAACCAAAAACAUCACUGCCAUAACUGUCUUUAUACAUACCCCUUAUAGAACCUGUGUGAGAA